rnacentral:lncRNA from 1 species
GAAGAUAGAAGAUGACAAAAAGAAAAGCAAAAGGAUAUCCAGAGGAAGUGCUAAGCACAUAUUUUUAUAGGGAGUGAUGGUGCAUGCCUUCACAUGAACCACAGCCUAAGGCCAUGGACCCCAUGGACAGCAGCUAAACAGACAAAAAAAUCAGAGUUGUCUCAUCGACUUUUCUGCAAGUUCUGAGUCCCUCUCGGCCCUCUCAGUCCUCUGCUUUC